CGCAAGCCUGACGGAGCAACGCCGCGUGAGGGAUGGAGGCCUUUGGGCUGUAAACCUCUUUUCUCAAGGAAGAAGAUCUGACGGUACUUGAGGAAUAAGCCACGGCUAAUUCCGUGCCAGCAGCCGCGGUAAUACGGGAGUGGCAAGCGUUAUCCGGAAUUAUUGGGCGUAAAGCGUCCGCAGGCGGCCGUUUAAGUCUGUUGUUAAAUCGUGGAGCUCAACUCCAUCACGGCAAUGGAAACUGUUCGGCUUGAGUAUGGUAGGGGCAGAGGGAAUUUCCGGUGUAGCGGUGAAAUGCGUAGAUAUCGGGAAGAACACCAGUGGCAAAAGCGCUCUGCUGGGCCAUUACUGACGCUCAUGGACGAAAGCCAGGGGAGCGAAAGGGAUUAGAUACCCCUGUAGUCCUGGCCGUAAACGAUGAACACUAGAUGUUGGGGGAAUCGACCCCCUCGGUGUCGUAGCUAACGCGUUAAGUGUUCCGCCUGGGGAGUACGCACGCAAGUGUGAAACUCAAAGGAAUUGACGGGGGCCCGCACAAGCGGUGGAGUAUGUGGUUUAAUUCGAUGCAACGCGAAGAACCUUACCAAGGAUUGACAUCCUGCGAAUCUCCAAGAAAUUGGAGAGUGCCUUUUGGAACGCAGUGACAGGUGGUGCAUGGCUGUCGUCAGCUCGUGUCGUGAGAUGUUGGGUUAAGUCCCGCAACGAGCGCAACCCACGUUUUUAGUUGCCAGCAUUCAGUUGGGCACUCUAGAAAGACUGCCGGUGACAAACCGGAGGAAGGUGUGGACGACGUCAAGUCAUCAUGCCCCUUACGCCUUGGGCUACACACGUACUACAAUGCUGCGGACAAAGAGUAGCGAUCUUGCAAAGUUAAGCUAAUCUCGUAAACCGCGGCUCAGUUCAGAUCGUAGGCUGCAACUCGCCUACGUGAAGGAGGAAUCGCUAGUAAUCGCAGGUCAGCAUACUGCGGUGAAUACGUUCCCGGGCCUUGUACACACCGCCCGUCACACCAUGGAAGUUGGCCAUGCCCGAAGUCGUUACUCUAACCUUUUGGAAGAGGGCGCCGAAGGCAGGGCUAAUGACUGGGGUGAAGUCGUAACAAGGUAGCCGUAGCGGAAGCUGCGGCUGGAUCACCUCCUAA
rnacentral:rRNA from 1 species